CAGUCGAACGGCAGCACGGGAGCAAUCCUGGUGGCGAGUGGCGAACGGGUGAGUAAUGUAUCGGAACGUACCUUUCAGUGGGGGAUAACGUAGCGAAAGUUACGCUAAUACCGCAUAUUCUGUGAGCAGGAAAGCAGGGGAUCGCAAGACCUUGCGCUGAUUGAGCGGCCGAUAUCAGAUUAGCUAGUUGGUGAGGUAAAGGCUCACCAAGGCGACGAUCUGUAGCGGGUCUGAGAGGAUGAUCCGCCACACUGGAACUGAGACACGGUCCAGACUCCUACGGGAGGCAGCAGUGGGGAAUUUUGGACAAUGGGGGCAACCCUGAUCCAGCCAUGCCGCGUGAGUGAAGAAGGCCUUCGGGUUGUAAAGCUCUUUCGGCCGGGAAGAAAUCGCAUGGGUUAAUACCCUGUGUGGAUGACGGUACCGGAAUAAGAAGCACCGGCUAACUACGUGCCAGCAGCCGCGGUAAUACGUAGGGUGCGAGCGUUAAUCGGAAUUACUGGGCGUAAAGCGUGCGCAGGCGGUUUAGUAAGACAGGCGUGAAAUCCCCGGGCUCAACCUGGGAACUGCGCUUGUGACUGCUAAGCUAGAGUACGGCAGAGGGGGGUGGAAUUCCACGUGUAGCAGUGAAAUGCGUAGAGAUGUGGAGGAACACCGAUGGCGAAGGCAGCCCCCUGGGCCGAUACUGACGCUCAUGCACGAAAGCGUGGGUAGCAAACAGGAUU
rnacentral:rRNA from 1 species